ensembl:ncRNA lncRNA:CR44796 long non-coding RNA:CR44796
AUACACUUUUAUAGACUUUUAAUUGGCAAUUUCCUAAGCCGGUUGGCAACCUUGACGCUUCCUUCUAUAACUCAGCCAGAACUUUUGUCUAUUAAACGGCGCCGUAAAAGCGAAAAUAUAGUCAUAAUUUAUGGCAGUUAAGCAGCUAACAAACCAUCCUGCAGAUCCUCCCCAUCGACCCCAACUUCCCCACCACCUUUGCAUGUCGAGCCCCCAUCAGUGGGAGUGGGCAGAUGUCCCGAUGUGGUGGGUGGUGGCUCCAGACGCGCAGGUGAUUCGUCCGCCGGGUGGCAGGUGAAAGAACUGCAGCUGUCGUCGUCGCAUCCAGCGAAAAACGCGGAAGCGAGUGAAAAGCAAUUAUCAGGUGUCAAAAUUUAUAUUAGGGGCUUGCAAGCUCGUAAAAGGAUACCAGCCAGGAAGCAAGGCAAAGGAAACAAAGCAAGAAACUUGAAAACAAGUUGCUAGUCCUCCCAGUCCCUAUAUACUG